rnacentral:misc_RNA from 1 species
GAAAAAUAUUGCAUCAUUGUGAGAAGCGGGACACGUUUUCGACUCUCUGACUGUUGGUAUGUCUGCUGAUCUUAUAGAGACCUUCGUGUCCAUCGGACUGAGUGAACAGAAGGCCAAGGAAACUUUAAAAAACGAUAAUGUCACCCAGAAUCUCAAGUCCGCCAUAGAACAAGCUGCAAAAAUUGCACCAGGACCAAUUGACAAGGAUAGUGGAAAGCUUCUGUAUAACAUCGCAACAAAACUAAAGACCCAGAUUAAGGGCCACCAGUCAAUGCUAGUGGAGUAUGUCAUCACCCGCAAGAUCAACAGUGAAAUACAGCUCAAUGCUGCCCUGGACUACUUGUUACAUCACCCCCUCCCCCCGGUGGACUGGGCCAAGUUUGAACGGGAGAGUGGUGUAGGAGUGGUGAUUACCCCCGACCAGAUUGAGGCGGCGGUAGAGGAAGUGAUUGGGAAGUAUAAGAAGGAACUACAAGAGAAGAGAUAUAAGUUCAACAUGGGGACACUGAUGGGUGAAGCUCGAUCUAAGCUGAAGUUUGCAGACGGCAAGAUUGUGAAGAAUGAGGUAGAUAUGCAGGUGUUGGACUUGCUGGGUCCAAAGACAGAGGCGGACCUAGAAAAACCAGUCAAACAGAAGGCUACGUCCUCACAGCAGAGAAAGUUGUCAAGGAUGGCAGUGGAAACGUGACUGAAGUCAUGGCCUCCUGUAAAAAGACAAACGACACAGAGAAACCCAAGGGUUUCAUACACUGGGUGUCUGACCCACUCGUGUGUGAGGUCCGGCUCUACGAGAGAUUAUUUUUCCAUAAGAACCCAGAAGAUCCCUCAGAAGUUCCAGGUGGUUUCCUAUCAGAUAUAAACCCUGAAUCCCUGAAGAUUAUACCCCAGGCCUACGUAGACUCCACCGUCAAAGAUGCCAAGGUUCUGGAUCGCUUCCAGUUUGAACGUUUAGGGUUCUUCGCAGUAGACAGAGAUUCCACUCCUGCCAAGAUGGUGUUCAACAGGACGGUCACUUUGAAAGAAGACCCCGCCAAAAACUGAAUAUUUGUGCAAAGAUUGUAUUUAUUGACAAUUCAAGAGUUUCUGUGUGAGAUUUGGACGCAGAGAGAAGAAUAAAAUUAAAGAAAGCUGU